CCCCCAUGCCUCCAGUGUGCUAUUUUCAGAGACAAGCAGCUCCUGCCUUCAGGGAGCCUUUCAGGGCGAACCGAGCCGCCUCUGAGCCCAAAUACAGCCCAGACAAUGACCAGACCAGUUUCAAAGAAAUGUGACCAGGAUGAUUUUUAUUCUGUCAUGGCAGCAUGUGUGGAAGAAAGUUGAAAAUUCCCCCAGCAGUAACUGGAAUUUAAGCACCUGUUGGAGAAAACGAAGGCCUCAAUCACGACAGUAAG